rnacentral:rRNA from 1 species
GACGAACGCUGGCGGCGUGCUUAACACAUGCAAGUCGAACGGAAAGGCCCUGCUUUUGUGGGGUUCUCGGUUGGCAAACGGGUGAGUAACACGGAAGUAACCUCCCCUGCACUUUGGGAUAACUUCAGGAAACUGGGCCUAAUACCGUAUAGGAUCUCCUCUUCCAGGGUGGGGUUUGGAAAGUUUCGGCGUUUGGGAUUGAAUUCGCGGCUUAUCAGCUGGUUGGUGGGGUAGUGGCUUACCAAGGCUUGGACGGGUAGCCGCCCUGAGAGGGUGACCGGCAACAUGGGGAUUGGGAUACGGCCAGGACUCAUACGGGAGGCAGGAGUGGGGAAUAUUGCACAAUGGGCGGAAGCCUGAUGGAGCAACGCCGCGUGCGGGAUGACGGCCUUCGGGUUGGAAACCGCUUUCGCCUGUGACGAAGCGUGAGGGACGGAAUGGGUAAAGAAGCACCGGCUAACUACGUG